rnacentral:rRNA from 1 species
UACGUAGGGGUCUAGCGUUGUCCGGAAUCAUUGGGCGUAAAGAGCUCGUAGGCGGUUCGGCAAGUCGGAUGUGAAAUCUCCACGCUCAACGUGGAGGGGCCAUUCGAAACUGCCGUGACUCGAGUCCGGUAGGGGAGUGCGGAAUUCCCGGUGUAGCGGUGAAAUGCGCAGAUAUCGGGAGGAACACCAGUGGCGAAGGCAGCUCUCUGGGACGGUACUGACACUGAGACGCGAAAGCGUGGGGAGCGAACAGG